rnacentral:lncRNA from 1 species
AAGGGUAUGCUGACCCUAGGGGUUCUAUGAGUUCUGUCAUAGUGCAUACACAGGUCAAACGGGUUAAAGAAGAAGUUUACAGUUUUAUGUUUUACAGUUUAUGCUUAUGUUUGAUCAUGUAUGGGAUUAUACCAGCUAUACAGGAUGUAUGUUAGGCUUGCUACGGGUCCCGGCGGCCUUAAGUCGACCCGGAUCCUAGCGCCGGUAGCGGUCCGAUUUUCGGGUCGUUACA